CUUAAUUUAUUGUGUUUUUUUUUUCGGUCUCACUUCAUUACAAUUAUGGUUGGAAAAAGUUGAUUUAGGGCUUGAUUUAAACUUUCCAAAAAGGAGAAAGAUCUCUAGAAACUAAAUAAGAAGGUUCGACCCAAGGAAUUCUGUGUUGGAGUGGUCCAUUCUACUUAUUGACAACUCGAACCGAAGGUUGUGAAUGUCUUGCCCCAGAAAGGUGGAGCUCCACUGAAGUUCAGUCAAAGAACGCAGUGAUGUAGGCUAAACUCACAGGUUGCAGGUUGCUGCUUCACUAACAAGGAAGUCGAUGCUCAUAUACCCAAUUACCCCAACUUGCCACCCCAGUUAAUUUGUCAGCUUCACAAUGUGACUA